AUCGUACUCUCUCUCUCCAACAAAGGAUGUCUUAAUUUUGACUAAAUUUGAAUGCAUCUAUACACUAAGUCAUAUUUAAAUACAUCCAAAUUUCGACAAACUUGAGACAUCUUUUGUUGGACGGAGGAAGUAUUUU
rnacentral:pre_miRNA from 1 species